AUGGACGCGGCGGAGGCCCGUCCCGCUCCGCUCGUGCCACCGCCUCCCGCGCUCGUCCUCCCGGUGCCGGAUCUCGCGGAGGAGACACCGCAGCCGCAGGAGAAGGGGCCCGUGCCGACGACGACCGCUGCAGAGACAACAACGACGACCAGCACGGUUCACACGCUCCCUGCCGCGGUGGCGACGACCGCGAGCCCGCCUCCACCUCCCGCCGUGCCCGAUGCCGAGCAGGGGCUGCAACAGCUCUCCAGGGUGCUCACCUCGCUAGGGUACAACAAGAUGGCGUCAAAGGCGCCGCUCCUCGCUCGCGCGCCACCGCUGGCGAGGUGGCCCGGGGCCAUCACCGUCUUCGCGGCCCCUGACGCCUUCCUCCAGGGCUCCUGCCCCAUUUGCUCACGCUGCCACCUCCUCGAGCAACACAUCGCCAUGGGCUACUAG
rnacentral:rRNA from 1 species